GGUGCAGGUCUUGGGGGAAGUCCUGUAUUCGGGAAAGCAAUUAAGAAAAGCACAUUCAUGUCUUUCCUAAAUACUCCCUCCAUUACAAGUGAAAGGGAAGCAAAAUGAGGCAGCUGUGUGAGAUUCACCAGAAAAGCAGCUUCAUUCCUAAACAGUUGUUUUAUCUUUCAUUUAGACCAGGACUGAUCACUCGCUCUACGCAGCAGAUGGGGCCCCAAACGACCCUGGGCUGUUGACUCUCCAAUAUACUCUCAAAAGACAAAGUGUCCAGCCGAGGAUAUCAGAAACCUGUGCUGGUGACUCAGCGGCACUUUCUGGAAGAGAGUUGUAAGAAGAAUGGAGAAGAAAGGAAGGAAAUGGAUAAGGUUUGGCUGAAUGCCUCCUCAUAGUGGAUGUAGAAUUAAAGAAAGUUGCUCCAAUUUAGGCCCUGUGGAUGGAUGGCUUAUAACCUGGAGAAAGAAUGGCACACAGAUCCAGGGAACUGCUGCUGUGGUCAUUCCACAGGUGUCUAAUGAAACUUUCAGGUCACCGUGCUGGGCACUGUGCAGGAGACUGAGGCACCUGAGAGAGGGACCCAGGUCUCAUGGACCUCUCAGUGAGGCAUGGAAAGCAGAACAUGUUCCCCAGUCAGCAAAGGAGGAAACCCAUGGGGAAGAUCUGGGUCCUCAGCCUCCUGCCCUCGACUUAAUGGCAAGCUAGAGACGGCCACAGCAAGAGGAGUUCUGAAAGUGGCAUCUGGAUGAAAAGGGAGCCUCCUGGGCACUCCAGUGGCUGGUGGAUGGGGGCCUUGGUCUCUGCAUCUGUCCAUCCACCAGGCAGGCCCUGGCAGUGCUGAUGGUGGCCAGACUGAACUCACAUUGCAGCCCCAGAACUUUAAACUGCCACUUUUAAGCAUGCCUUGCUUAGGGCUGUCUGUGGACUCGGACUGAAUG